GACGAACGCUGGCGGCGUGCUUAACACAUGCAAGUCGAACGGAAAGGCCCUGCUUUUGUGGGGCGCACGAGUGGCGAACGGGUGAGUAACACGUGAGUAACCUGCCCUUGACUUUGGGAUAACUUCAGGAAACUGGGGCUAAUACCGGAUAGGAGCUCCUGCUCCACGGGGGGGGUUGGAAAGUUUCGGCGGUUGGGGAUGGUCUCGCGGCUUAUCAGCUUGUUGGUGGGGUAGUGGCUUACCAAGGCUUUGACGGGUAGCCGGCCUGGGAGGGUGACCGGCCACAUUGGGACUGAGAUACGGCCCAGACUCCUACGGGAGGCAGCAGUGGGGAAUAUUGCACAAUGGGCGGAAGCCUGAUGCAGCAACGCCGCGUGCGGGAUGACGGCCUUCGGGUUGUAAACCGCUUUCGCCGGUGACGAAGCGUGAGUGACGGUAAUGGGUAAAGAAGCACCGGCUAACUACGUG
rnacentral:rRNA from 1 species